CCAAAAGGCAUACGAUAGAAAUACAUUCAUUUUAGAUUAUUGCGAUUUCUUUUUGUAUUGUUAGAAUAUCAAUAUAAUCGUCUUUCUUUUCUAAUAUUUGUAGUACUUUUUUAAAGUGAUUCUUUGGUUUUUCACGUAGUUCUGUAGGAAUGCUGUUCCAAAUUCUACCUCCCAUUCUUGAGAAUGAUUUGUUUUGCACGUCUAAACCUGAAUAUUCAACGUGGAAGUUCUUCCUAGUGGAAGAUCUGGUGUUGUGUUCGUGUACCUGACUUAAUGGGGUAAACAAAGCCAAAAUAUUGGGGGGUACUACUGUUCUUGAUACGUCAUGCAUUAGUAUUGAUACUGAUUUGUAAUACAGCAAAUUUAUUGGCAGAACAUUAGCUGACUGAAAAUAAGGAAUGGCAUGAGAAAGAUAGUGUGCAGAAUAUAUUAAACGAAGGGCGCGUUUUUGGAGUUUAAGGA